AGAGGAGUCUCUUGUGAAUUGUGAAUCUCUGCUCCCUCCCAAGCCCUACCAAAUACAACAAUACAGGAGUAAAAAAGAGUUAAAAAAAAAAAAACAAAAACCCGACAAGGUCUCUGAGAAUAGAAGAGGAGGCAGCAGCAGACGGAGGAUGUCACCACAUUUUCGUAAGGUGGGAAGCAGAGGAAGGAGUGGUGAGUCACACAGAGGCAUGGAGGGAGCUGAGGCCUGAUCCCACAGAGGGGAGGAGAGAGGCAGGUGGAACUGCUGGGAGACAGAGGACCGCGCUGUGAAUGGCAGGAGUGUGGUGCCUGCCUGAGAGCCAGAGUUUCACUCUCAGAGGAGGAUUUUGUUCUUCAAUUGUGGAGUGAUCUCUAUCACCAGUGACUAAAGCAGAUGUUGGAGCACAGAGAGCCAUACCCCAAAAUAUGAUGCUUCGGCAUGCUGACUGCUUUGAAAAUUGAAAGGCCUCAGAAAUAAUCCUCAGUGCCAGGGUCUCCCUCUGACCUCCCCCUACCUCCCUUUCUCUCUGAUCCUGUCUCUCCCAAAGCACAGAAUGAAGCUGUUCUCUGAAUUCCCUUAUCUACCUAGAAACUGGACCCCCAAAGAGGAACACAAUUUGCCUUUGAUCCCUUCCCUGAAAUUUCAUUAACCAGAGAAAAUUAAAACUUCUAUCACAAAGGAAGAGACUGAACAUUAAACACCAUAGCUACAGCCCAGACAAACUUCUUCCCAAACCAUUGUUUGUUCUCCUGCCUGUUAAAUUGCCAGAGAAUCAUUCACAAGAUAAAGUCUGCCUUCUGGGUCCAUUCAUUCCCCACUAAAAAUCUUUUACUCCUACACCCUCAUGUCUCCUUCCUCCAUGAAGAAGGGUCUAUAAACCUCUAGGCCUCAUUGGGUUAUUGGGUAAUCAUUCUCAUGCAGUUCCCCUGUGCUCUGCAUGUUAAAUAAAUUUGUAUGCCUUUUUCUCCUACCUGCCUUUUGUCAUUUUCAGUGAACCUUCAGAAGGUAAAGGCAGAAGCUUUCCUUCUUUGCCCCUAUAGUGUCAACAACAGCCAGCCAGGCAAAGGGUUUCAGAAACCCAAGUGGGAUUAAGAUGAUUAGCCACAUGGCUCUAUUCUACAAACUAGUGGUCAGAAUAACAAGCGUUUGCUUAUUAGGAGGUCGAGGUGGGAGAA
rnacentral:lncRNA from 1 species